CCCUUAGAUGUUCUGGGCCGCACGCGCGCUACACUGAUGCAUUCAACGAGUCUAAAACCUGCUCUGAUAGGGGUGGGUAAUCUUUUGAAUGUGCAUCGUGAUUGGGAUAGAUGAUUGAAAUUUUUCAUCUUCAACGAGGAAUGCCUAGUAAACGCAAGUCAUCAGCUUGCAUUGAUUACGUCCCUGCCCUUUGUACACGCCGCCCGUCGCUCCUACCGAUUGAAUGAUCCGAUGAAUAUCAUGGAUUGAGGAUGCAAGUAGGUUCACCUAUCUUCAUCUUCGAGAAGUGAAGUAAAUCUUAUCAUUUAGAGGAAGGAGAAGUCGUAACA
rnacentral:rRNA from 1 species